rnacentral:rRNA from 1 species
CCUACGGGAGGCAGCAGUGGGGAAUCUUGCGCAAUGGGCGGAAGCCUGACGCAGCAACGCCGCGUGCGGGAAGAAGGCCUUAGGGUCGUAAACCGCUUUCAGGGGGACGAAGCUUCCGGGGUUAAUAGCCUACGGGUGACGGUACUCCCAAAAGAAGGUCCGGCUAACUACGUGCCAGCAGCCGCGGUAAUACGUAGGGACCGAGCGUUGUCCGGAAUCAUUGGGCGUAAAGAGCGUGUAGGCGGCUUGGUAGGUCUCGUGUGAAAUCCCGCGGCUCAACCGCGGAUCCGCACGGGAAACCCCUAAGCUCGAGUCCGGAAGAGGAGAGUGGAAUUCCUGGUGUAGCGGUGAAAUGCGCAGAUAUCAGGAAGAACACCCGUAAGCGAAGGCGGCUCUCUGGGACGGUACUGACGCUGAGACGCGAAAGCGUGGGGAGCAAACAGGAUUAGAUACCCUGGUAGUCCACGCCGUAAACGAUGGGCGCUAGGUGUGGGAGGUGUCGGACUCCUCCCGUGCCGAAGCUUAACGCAUUAAGNGCCCCGCCUGGGGAGGUACGGCGCGAGACAAACUACAAGAAGUAGACGCGUGAGACGAGCGACGACGACGACGAGGAGAG